CACCAAUGCAAAUCUAUUUAGCCAUGAUGGUGGGCUGGUAGUUGGAGCCACAAAAUUAAGCUUUAAUGAAGCCAGAAUGUACUGCAGCAUCCGAAGCACCGAUGGGUUCUUGCUGUUUGUGUUGCAGCUGCGCUGCAGUAAUGAGCUAUCAAGUGUGCUCCACAGAGCAACAGAAGCUGGUUCGGUGCCUGCAAUAUUGUUGACACGUUCCACACAUACAAGCAUGACAAAUAAUUUUUACAAGGCUGCCUAUAAAAAAUAUAUUGCAUAUCUGAGAUCACUUUGAUUUAGUGAGACUGGGAGAUUUCAAACACUGGUAUGCAGUGUGUAUUCAGUGAAACUGUGUAGAUUAGUAAUU